UGCCCCACCCAGCUCCACCCACCCUGGCUAGGCAGGUUCUGUAGAGACCUGCUCCGCUGUCUCUCUGGCACCCCCACCCCCAUCCCAGCUCCCAGAAGGUACCUGCCCCCCAACACAGCACACAAAAGCAGACACGUGUGCACAUUCAUGUCCCAUAGCACCCCAUUCCCUAGCCUUCCCCAGACCCAUUCCUAGUCCGUCUUGAAGAGAACACUGGGGGUGGAAAGGCUGCAGGAGAAAAGGCAGGCCCCACAAUUUCCACCACCAGGCUUUGAGCUGCUUCCUCCCUUGGCCUAGGCAGAGAACUGGCCCGUACCUGCCCACCAGAAAACAGGGGAAUUACUCAAGUGCAAGAUUAAAGGCAAUAAUGAGCAAUCAGACCGAACUGGAAUGACAGUAGGGGAAGGUGAAGAGACUUUGGGAAAAGGAAGAGCACUGAAGUCAGACCUGGCACAGCCUUUUACGAGCUAUGUAAUCUCAGGUGGGGUUCCCUGGGAAGUGGAUUCCUGAACUCUGAGAUCGUAUACAGGAGAGUGCCAGCAGGAGAGUUCUUGAGAACACCUGUGAGGUGUGAGGGAAGCUGCAAUAAGCCGAGAGAGAAACUGAAAAGCAAUGCAAUGGCAACAGAGGCUUCUGUCCAUCCCAUGGGGGCUCUCAAGCUGGGAUAACUUUGUAACCCCACAUCAACCAGUCAUUGCCCUAGGGAAAGAGCAACACCUCAGGCAAGGCGGCUUUCUUCCUCCAAAGGCAAUUCCUGGAGAGGGACUCAGCUGUGAGUCAACACUUCCACAGCUGGAGAAGUGAGUGGAGCACACCACAGAAUUCACUGUACGUAUCUCAUGGUCUUCAAAACCCAGCUCAGAGUUUACCGGCUGCCUUCCUCACCAACACCCUCUCUCAGGUAAUCACUCGCUUCCUUGCAGAUGCCUCUCACUGUUGGGAAACUGAUAUGUUUACAUGCCUGUCUCCCAUACUCCCUCCCAAGUAGGUGGUGGGGAGGGCCUGAUCCUGUAUUUCAGAAUCCAGAACAGUGCCCGGUAUACAUUGGCUAUUCCAUAAAGGCAUGCUGCACUGAAUAAAUUGAAAUCAACCAAUGAAAGAGGUAGCUACAAGCUUAUAAAAGAAGG